GUCAAAUCAUCAUGCCCUUUAUGUCCUGGGCUACACACGUAAUACAAUGGCGCAUUAACAGAGGGAAGCGAAGCCGCGAGGCGGAGCAAAUCCCCAAAAGGCGUCUCAGUUCGGAUCGCAGGCUGCAACCCGCCUGCGUGAAGUCGGAAUUGCUAGUAAUCGCGGAUCAGCAUGCCGCGGUGAAUACGUUCCCGGGCCUU
rnacentral:rRNA from 1 species